GGGUCUUGUCAAUCAAGGCAAGACUGAGGCAGAUCCUUACAUGAACUACCCAAGGCAUCGAAGUCAUUGACUGUAAAAGUAAGCCUCUCCUUUCCAACAGCAAUUAGCUUACAGCAUAUUGUUUCAUAACUCCAGCCCCAAAACAAAAGGAUUUUCUUGGAUAAGACCUUUUUUAUUUGAUUGCUCUGCACAAGCAAGGGCAAUGGAUUGGGGAAGGAUGAGCAGCUAUCACACAGGAAAUGGUGAUUGGAACAACUGAAAGGGGGAAGCAAUUCUGUUGUCUGCAGUCUCACGCUGACCUCAGGACAUUUUGCAUAGCUAAGAGCUGCUGUUUGUUCUACAACCAUCAUCCUAAUCUUUCUCCUUCCACCUUCUCCCUCCCCAAAGUUACUCUUGUUUUAUGCAUUUUUAAUGCAGCAGCACAUGAGGUCCCUCUCAGGUCUCAGGUUUUAUCAGCCAUCCAAAAGAUCUGCCCAGAGUCUGCAGUAAGAGAGGCUGAGCCUUGCACAUGGAGAUCUUGGGAGUAAACUGGGUACGGACAAUUCUCAUACCAUGAGUCUCCAGGAGUGACAGCUAGCAGCAAAGGACUCCAGCUUCAAGUCAAGACCCAUCACGUUAGAUGAUGAAGGAGGAAUACUGGAGAGGUAUUGCAAUGGACUCCACAGACCUCAUCACCAGACAUGCCCUGGGCACCUUUUCUGUCAGUGAAACCAAUGGCAUAUUGGAAAAGCAGGAGAUCCAAAGCCACAUCAGAUCACAGGGAGGUCAAGAGAAAUAGCCAAAGUCUUGCCACUGAUCUAAAAAUAUCAGCAAUUUUCCAUUUAAAAAAUCUCUGAUUUUCUGCUUGUUUCUUUGCCAUUGUGGACCAAAAAUAAAGCUAUUAAAAGAAACCUUUAGAAACUUUUUUUUUUUUAAAAAAAAGUACUGUUUAGAAGUUCCUACUUGCAGAGAAACCAGGUAAAAAUAAAAAUAUUGGUUGCAAAUUUUCAUCUGAUUCUGAAAAUGUGCUAGUAAAAAUCAUCCCAAGAUUACACACAGAUACACGAAAUACAUUCCAGAUGGCAUAUCAACCAGCUUUGACAGAUUCCUCUUCUUCUAUGGACUAGAAAAACAAGGGCUGGACUUUUGGUUUGUGUAAUCCAGUUUGUUUCACUGACUUCUGCUGAGAUUCUGUUCUCCUGUCUUCACUUGUACUGAAAAGCCUCAUGAAGCAAAAUGAGACAAAUGGCAAACUGACCCUUCUCAUUUAUUUCCUCUCAUGAAAGUCCUAUCUCUUCAUGGGACAGACACUGAUUUCUGAAGGAUUUGCAUCAUGUCUCAUGAAAAGUAUGAGUGUUGGCUUUUUUCCAGGUACUGUUUUGCUGGCUUAUUUUUUUCAUUUAAUCUAAUUAACAAAUAUACUGAGUUCUUGUACACUUGGUCUUCAGGCUACAUCAGAAAUUUAAAGGCUGUGUAUUUUUAUUUUCCCCACAUAUUUCAAAAUUAUUUGAAAUAAAGUGUGACACGCUUAUCUUUAAUAGCUGCAUCUUUAUGUCUACCAUUCGCCUUCUCGUUCCUUUUCUGAGACGCACAGAACAAGAUAGAAAGAGACUGACCAAGGGAGAACCUCUAUGAGGUCCCACUAUGCAGCUUGAUAUACAGCCUGUGCCCUCCAAGAGGCUUUCUGAAAAACAGUCACUUGUUCAAAAGAAUUCUGGGCUUUCAGUCUCAAACACGGGGGACUCCAUCGCUGCAAGAGAGCUUGGAUGUCUGUAGGCUCUUCACUGCCUUCUGGAUGCAAUUUCAUGCUCAGUCUUUCCCUAUCCCAUGCACAGAAAUAGAGCAAUACCAGGUGCUACUCACUUUAACACCACAUAAAACACCAAAAUUAAAAUUAUCCAAAGAGAUUAACAUUAACACCCUAAUCCUUAGCUAUACAGGAAAUUUUUAAUUCCACCCUUGUUCCUCAGUGAUGAGCCUCUCAACUUCAAUGAAUUUUUUCCUAGUAUUAAAAAUCUUUACAGAUUAUUUGUAUUUUGACCAGUCUCGAGAUAUCCCACUCUAUGAGCAAUCUGUCUGUAUCCUGAUUAAUUCACAAA